AUGAUUGGUGGCUGUUGCUGACUAGUGUUUCUAGUAUGUGCACGCCACACCUUCAAUCCCACUUACACCUGUGCACCUUCUGUAGUACUCACUUGUGGACGCAGACGUGGAAGUCUUCACUGACUUUCCUACUCUGCUGAAGCAGUAUACUACGUUUUUUACACACACACACAAGAGUCAUUGAAUGUAUAUUUUAUUUCUUAUGAUAAAAA
rnacentral:misc_RNA from 1 species